AUGAGGUCAUCUCAUCCCUUUCUGCAAAGCUGGUGGCUCCUGGCAGCUGCAGGAGUUGCAUCUCCCCUCCAUUCUCAAGGAAGUGCAGGGAUCCAGGAAGCUCCUCUGGGUGAUGGGAACAGAGGUCUCUUAACAGGCUACCUAAAAAAUUCACUGCUGCUCACUGCAAACUGGAGAAAAGUGUGCCUCAUUCAUCACUGCACUUCUGCCCAGCCAAGGCAAUGUGACACCACUGAAAACAGCUGGGAUGGAGAUGGAAUAGAGCUUCAGUGAAUCAACGAAGAGAAUAAACUGUCACAUUGCUGCA
rnacentral:lncRNA from 1 species